rnacentral:misc_RNA from 1 species
AAGUCGUAACAAGGUUUCCGUAGGUGAACCUGCGGAAGGAUCAUUAAUGAAUAACUAGGCGUUGGUUGUAGCUGGCUUCUAGGAGCAUGUGCACGCCCGUCUUCUUAUCUUUCCACCUGUGCACUUGAUGUAGGCCUGGAUAACUCUCGCUCUCGAGCGGAUGCAAGGAUUGAUCGUCUUUGACGGACUUUCUUUGAACUUCUAGGUCUAUGUAUUUUUUUACAAACCCCCAAUUGAAAAAUGUAGAAUGUUGUCAAGGGCUUUCGAGCCUAUAAAACAAAUACAACUUUCAGCAACGGAUCUCUUGGCUCUC